UACGGAGGGUGCAAGCGUUAAUCGGAAUUACUGGGCGUAAAGCGCGCGUAGACGGUUAUAUAAGUCGGGUGUGAAAGCCCCGGGCUCAACCUGGGAAUUGCAUUCGAGACUGUGUAGCUAGGGUGCGGAAGAGGGAAGCGGAAUUUCCGGUGUAGCGGUGAAAUGCGUAGAUAUCGGAAGGAACACCAGUGGCGAAAGCGGCUUCCUGGUCCAGCACCGACGUUCAGGCGCGACAGCGUGGGGAGCGAACCGG
rnacentral:rRNA from 1 species